rnacentral:rRNA from 1 species
UACAGAGGUCUCGAGCGUUAAUCGGAUUCAUUGGGCUUAAAGCGUACGUAGGCGGAUGUGCAGGCCUCGUGUGAAAUCCCCUGGCUCAACCAGGGAACUGCUCGGUGAACCGCACGUCUUGAGGCAAGUAGAGGCUGUCGGAACGAUAGGUGGAGCGGUGAAAUGCGUAGAUAUCUAUCGGAACGCCGAAGGUGAAAACAGGCAGCUGGGCUUGAUCUGACGCUGAGGUACGAAAGCGUGGGGAGCGAACGGG